GAAGAGUUGGGAUAGGAGAAAUCAAGGACUGCCUAAACCUCGACUAUUUACUGUUGGCCGCCUUGAUGUUGCCACAGGUGGAUUGAUUAUCGUGACCAAUGAUGGAGAUUUUGCUCAAGCACUUGCACAUCCUUCAUUCAAAUUAUCGAAGGAAUACAUUGCAACCGUAGAAGGUGUAGUAAACAAGCAGCAUUUAGUAGCCAUCAGCAAAGGAAC
rnacentral:misc_RNA from 1 species